UCGGAACGUAUCCAAUAAUGGGGGAUAACUAMUCGRAAGGUUGGCUAAUACCGCAUACGCCCUACGGGGGAAAGCUAGGGAUCUUCGGACCUGGCGUUAAUGGAGCGGCCGAUAUCUGAUUAGCUAGUUGGUGGGGUAAAGGCCCACCAAGGCGACGAUCAGUAGCUGGUCUGAGAGGACGACCAGCCACACUGGAACUGAGACACGGUCCAGACUCCUACGGGAGGCAGCAGUGGGGAAUUUUGGACAAUGGGCGCAAGCCUGAUCCAGCCAUUCCGCGUGAGUGAAGAAGGCCUUCGGGUUGUAAAGCUCUUUCGCAAGGGAAGAAAACUUAUCCUCUAACAUAGGGUGAGGUUGACGGUACCUUGAUAAGAAGCACCGGCUAAC
rnacentral:rRNA from 1 species